rnacentral:rRNA from 1 species
CCUAGUAACGGCGAGUGAAGCGGCAACAGCUCAAAUUUGAAAUCUGGCUCUCUUUGGGGGUCCGAGUUGUAAUUUGCAGAGGAUGCUUUGGCAUUGGCGGCGGUCUAAGUUCCUUGGAACAGGACAUCACAGAGGGUGAGAAUCCCGUACGUGGUCGCCUGCCUUUGCCGUGUAAAGCUCCUUCGACGAGUCGAGUUGUUUGGGAAUGCAGCUCUAAAUGGGAGGUAAAUUUCUUCUAAAGCUAAAUACUGGCCAGAGACCGAUAGCGCACAAGUAGAGUGAUCGAAAGAUGAAAAGUACUUUGGAAAGAGAGUCAAAAAGCACGUGAAAUUGUUGAAAGGGAAGCGCUUGCAGCCAGACUUGCCCGCAGUUGCUCACCUAGGCUUUCGCCUGGGGCACUCUUCUGCGGGCAGGCCAGCAUCAGUUUGGGCGGUUGGAUAAAGGCCUCUGUCACGUAUCACCCUUCGGGGUGACCUUAUAGGGGAGGCGUAAUGCAACCAGCCCGGACUGAGGUCCGCGCAUCUGCUAGGAUGCUGGCGUAAUGGCUGUAAGCGGCCCGUCUUGAAACACGGACCAAGGAGUCUAACAUCUAUGCGAGUGUUUGGGUGUCAAGCCCGAGCGCGUAAUGAAAGUGAACGGAGGUGGGAACCUUUUAGGUGCACCAUCGACCGAUCCUGAUGUCUUCGGAUGGAUUUGAGUAAGAGCAUAGCUGUUGGGACCCGAAAGAUGGUGAACUAUGCUUGAAUAGGGUGAAGCCAGAGGAAACUCUGGUGGAGGCUCGCAGCGGUUCUGACGUGCAAAUCGAUCGUCAAAUUUGGGCAUAGGGGCGAAAGACUAAUCGAACCAUCUAGUAGCUGGUUC